AAAAACUUCUUAGGGAUAGGGGGCAGUAUUUGGAAGUUUGGAUGACUGAGGUGCCCAAAAUAAACUGCCUGUUACUCAGGCCCAAAAGCUAGGAUAUGCAUAUAAUUGGUAGUAUUGGAUAGAAAACACAGUUUCCAACACUGUUAAAAUAAUGUCUAACAGAACUGAUAUGGCAGGCGAAAACCCGGGGGUAUCCAUCCAGAAUUUAUUGUUAAUGAGCUCACCACUCAUUCAAAUGGCUGUCUAUGGGAAUAUCAAUGGAAUACCUCCCAGAUUGCAGUUCCCAGGGCUUCCAGUAGUUGUCAACAGUCUUUAGAAAGAGUUUCAUGCUUGUUUUUUGAAAAAUGAGCUAGAAUUUGUCGUUUUUCUAGGUGGCUCCCAUUUUGGCUGUAGUAUUGUAGCGCACGUUGGUGAGGGCGCGCACUUCGUUAUUUUUCUCCGGGAAUGAACAUACUAUUCUCCGUCUUAAAUUUGAUUGUUUAUUUACACAUUAGGGUACCUGAGGAUUGAUUUCAAAUGUUGUUUGACUUGUUUGGACAAAGUUUAUUGGCAACUUUCGGGAUUAAUUUGUGUGCAUUUUGAACGAGGGAUACCGGUGGAUUACUGAGUCAAGCGCGCCAACUAAACAGACUUUUUUGGGAUUUAAAGAAGGACUUUAUCAAACAAAGGGAUCAUUUGUUAUGUAGCUGGGACCCUUGUGAUUGCAAACAGAGGAAGAUCUUCAAAGGUAAGUGAUUUAUUUUAUCGCUAUUUCUGACUUUCGUGACGCUUCUGCUUGUUUGGAAAAUGUUUGUAAUGCUUUUGUAUGCAGGGCGCUGUCCUCAGAUAAUCGCAUGGUGUGCUUUCACAGUAAAGUAUUUUUGAAAUCUGACAAAGCAGCUGGAUUAACAAGAAGUUAAGCUUUUAAACGAUGUAAGACACUUGUAUUUUCAUGAAUGUUUAAUAUUACAAAUUUUGUAUUUUGAAUUUCGCGCUCUGCAAUUUCACCGGAUGUUGUCGAGGUGGGGCGCUAGCGGCACGUCUAUCCCAAAGAGGAUUUAUAACCUCAUAGUCAACGUUUGAUUUCAAAUCUAAACUUUUGGAGUAUAGAGCCAAAAGAAGAAAACAUGCCUUACUCUGAAGGUAGGUCAGAGUAAAUAACACUCCUGUGGUUUAGCUGAAGGAAUGUCAGAGUAAAUAACACUCCUGUGGUUUAACUGAAGGUAGGUCAGAGUAAAUAACACUCCUGUGGUUUAGCUGAAGGAAUGUCAGAGUAAAUAACACUCCUGUGGUUUAGCUGAAGGUAGGUCAGAGUAAAUAACACUCCUGUGGUUUAGCUGAAGG
ensembl:lncRNA